GGAUCGGAGCCUGCAACCCGGCUCCGUGAAGCUGGAUUCGCUAGUAAUCGCGCAUCAGCCAUGGCGCGGUGAAUACGUUCCCGGGCCUUGUACACACCGCCCGUCAAGCCAUGGGAGCCGGGGGCNCCUGAAGUGCGGUACCGCGAGGGCCGCCCAAGGGCGAGACCGGUGACUGGGGCUAAGUCGUAACAAGGUACC
rnacentral:rRNA from 1 species